GACGAACGCUGGCGGCAGGCCUAACACAUGCAAGUCGAACGAGUGGCGGACGGGUGAGUAAUGUCUGGGAAACUGCCUGAUGGAGGGGGCUAACUACUGGAAACGGUAGCUAAUACCGCAUACCAUCAGAUGUGCCCAGAUGGGAUUAGCUUGUUGGUGGGGUAACGGCUCCCCAAGGCGACGAUCCCUAGCUGGUCUGAGAGGAUGACGAGCCACACGGGAACUGAGACACGGUCCAGACUCCUACGGGAGGCAGGAGGGGGGAAUAUUGCACAAUGGGCGCAAGCCUGAUGGAGCCAUGCCGCGUGUAUGAAGAAGGCCUUCGGGUUGUAAAGUACGUUCAGCGGGGAGGCGUUACCCGAAGAAGAAGCACCGGCUAACGCCGUGCCAGCAGCCGCGGUAAUUC
rnacentral:rRNA from 1 species